GCGAACGCUGGCGGCAGGCUUAACACAUGCAAGUCGAACGCACUCUUCGGAGUGAGUGGCAGACGGGUGAGUAACGCGUGGGAACGUACCUUUUGCUUCGGAAUAUUCUCGGGAAACUGAGAGCAAUACCGAAUACGCCCUGAGGGGGAAAGAUUUAUCGGCAAAAGAUCGGCCCGCGUUAGAUUAGGUAGUUGGUAGGGUAAUGGCCUACCAAGCCUACGAUCUAUAGCUGGUCUGAGAGGAUGAUCAGCCACAUUGGGACUGAGACACGGCCCAAACUCCUACGGGAGGCAGCAGUGGGGAAUAUUGGACAAUGGGCGAAAGCCUGAUCCAGCCAUGCCGCGUGAAUGAUGAAGGCCUUAGGGUUGUAAAAUUCUUUCACCGGGGACGAUAAUGACGGUACCCGGAGAAGAAGCCCCGGCUAACUUCGU
rnacentral:rRNA from 1 species